rnacentral:rRNA from 1 species
UACAGAGGGGGCAAGCGUUGUUCGGAAUUACUGGGCGUAAAGGGCGCGUAGGCGGCCCGCUAAGUCGAACGUGAAAUCCCCAGGCUCAACCUGGGAACUGCGUCCGAUACUGGAUAGCUAGAGUUCGGCAGAGGGAAGCGGAAUUUCUGGUGUAGCGGUGAAAUGCGUAGAUAUCAGAAGGAACAUCAGUGGCGAAAGCGGCUUCCUGGACCAGAACUGACGAUCAGGCUCGAAAGCGUGGGGAGCAAACAGG